CACUGACCAAAGUGCUGUACAAUAAGAUAAAAAUAAUAAAAAUAAUAAUGAUAAUUAAAAAAAGAUUAGAUGUCGUUACUAAAGUAUAGCUUAGGGUAAAUCACAAACCUAAAAUCAUUUUUAGGUGAGGGGACUGACAAGGUUGAAGGGUCAAGUGGUCCACCGUUCUAUCAAUAAGGCUAAACUAGAAGAUGGUGCUUACACUAAUACAAACAUUAUUUUUUGCAGAAUGAGUGUGUUAGGAGAAAAGGAUUCCGCCAUUAUUAAACAGCUGGAUGCUGGAUUGAAAUGCAGCUGGAACUGGUUGUGGCUUAAACUGGAAGGCACGGUCUCAGUAAAAGAGCAAGAGGUGUCCUUUCAUCUAGGAGAUGUAUUCGUCAAAAUCAACAGGCAGGGAUUCGCCAGAUGCAUUCUCUGCCACAAAGAGAUCAAUUAUGCUAACAAAGGCAGCCAUGCUCUGCAGGCUCACUGCCAGACGAACGUUCACAAGAAGAAGGUGGAGAUGAUAGCUUCCACUCAUAGUGUUGCCAGCAGCUUCCUUCCAGCAUCAGCUCGGGUGAAUCCAGCAAGCCAGAGUCAAGCCAACCAGGGGUUAGAAACAAUCAGGCAGCAGUGCCAGGGAAAGAUCCCCGUACCAGUCAUAAACCGCAUAGCAAAUGCAGAGGUAGGUGGAGUAGGCCUGUUACUCAGCACAGGCAGCUUAGACAGAGUACACUAGCACUUUGAGAUUGUUAUUUUUAUUGUAUCACAAUCAGCUCCCGUCACUGGCAGCAUCAACACCUAAACAUGGAAUACACUAGCUGUACAUUAAUUACAUCAUUUGUGUUCUAGGCAAUGGUCCUUGGAACCUUGGCGGAGCAUUCCAUCUCGUUUUCUAUGUAUCCUGUAAUUGUUGAGCUUGCCCAGACCCUUUCCUUGGAUAAACCAGCUUUGCAGGGAAUGAAGCUGUCGACGACAACAGCUUCAUACAAGAUGAUCCAUGGUCUAGGGCGGACCUACUCUGAGAGGACCUUUUCCAACCUGAAGAUGUUUCCCUUUUCGUUAAAUUUAGACGAGAGUACCUCCAACAACAACAAAAAGGUUUGUCUCAUAUUAAGCUAUUGCCAUCAUAGUCCUUCUGUUUUUGCUUCAGUGUAUUCCCUGUAAAAUGUUGCAUGGCUAAUAAACCUUUUUAUGUUGAAGAUCCUCUCCAUGCUCGUUUGCUACUACCAUGCAGACUUGAGGAAGGUGAUAGUAGAGCAUUUGGGGUCCUUGGAGAUCGUGAAGGUGAAUGCUGCUUCUUUAGAGAAGGUGCUCUGUGAGUUCUUUGAGAAAAACCACAUCCCUUGGAAUAACCUUGUGAGUAUGCUGAUGGACUCGUGUGCUGUGAUGAGGGGCAGCAAGACCGGCCUCGAGAUCAGGAUGCACCAAUACUGUCCCCACCUGCUCGAUGUUGAUGGGGACUCCUGUCAUCACAUACACAAUGCGGCAAAGAAGUUCUCAGAGCCCUUUGACGGCUACUUGGAGAAGCUGUUCAGUGAUCUCCAGGUUGACCAUCAGUGAAGUCCAGACCAGGUGAUGUACCUCAAGGAGAUAGCUAUGUUUCUAAAUCUCCCCGCCUCCAGCCCACAAAGGGGCUUUGUUCCUCAUCGCUGGCUGUCUGCAUACGAUGCCAGCAUGGCAACCCAUGCCAUGAUGCCUGCGUACAGAGUCCUCUAUUAUGGCUUCCUCUGCACUGCACUGCCGAUAAGGAGCUGUAUAGGGAGCCUUUGGAGCUGAUGUACACCAAGUACCACGUCAACCAGGCGGCAAGAGCCCGUAUCAAGGUGGUUCAGGAGGAACUCAACAGGAAAGGCAUGACUCCACAAGGCCGUGAGAGAAAAAAGAGGGUAUGUCAGAAGCUGUGGCAUGAGGAGACGACAACAGUCUUAUGGCUCAGCAUCUACAAGGGUUUGCUGGCUAUUCUCAAGGAGUAUGUCAUGGUUUUCCAGAGUAGCCAGACAUUGGUUCACAAACUUCACGAUCGGCAGCUUGAGCUGUUCCUGGCCUUCAUGGCUUGCUUUGUGAAGGCCGAACACAUUACUCAGCUGUCUCCCAGUGCUCUGAGGGAGAUGGUCCUGGAGGUUCAUAUGCUGCUGCCCUCCAAGGAGAUCUAUGUGGGACAGGAGGCUGACAUGUUCAGGAGCCAGAAUCCCAA